AACGAACGCUGGCGGCAUGCCUAACACAUGCAAGUCGAACGAGACCUUCGGGUCUAGUGGCGCACGGGUGCGUAACGCGUGGGAACCUGCCCUUAGGUUCGGAAUAACUCCCCGAAAGGGGUGCUAAUACCGGAUAAUGUCUUCGGACCAAAGAUUUAUCGCCUUUGGAUGGGCCCGCGUUGGAUUAGCUAGUUGUUAGGGUAAAAGCCUACCAAGGCGACGAUCCAUAGCUGGUCUGAGAGGAUGAUCAGCCACACUGGGACUGAGACACGGCCCAGACUCCUACGGGAGGCAGCAGUGGGGAAUAUUGGACAAUGGGCGAAAGCCUGAUCCGGCAAUGCCGCGUGAGUGAUGAAGGCCUUAGGGUUGUAAAGCUCUUUUACCCGGGAUGAUAAUGACAGUACCGGGAGAAUAAGCUCCGGCUAACUCCGUG
rnacentral:rRNA from 1 species